GUAUUUAUUUUAAAAUGCUUUUGCAACCUGACACUGUUCAGCUUUUUUAUCUUUUACCAGUAUUUGGGGACUUAUUGGGGAUUCCUUUGAUAAUUUCAGGAAGAAAGAAGUGGAAUGGAAGGAGCCAGUAACUGUCCCAGGUCAGAAAACGCCUCUGAAAAGGAUCUACAUUACACCCAAAGUUCAUUGGAUAACUGCACCCUCAACAAUCAGGAGACAAUAAGUGGUGUAGACAGAGCUAAUAUCGUCCCCAAAUCAGAUGGUACCACUGAAGACAUUCAGCAUUCCACAGACUGUUCACAGGUUGAGACUUUCCACAUUCAGGAGACAAUAAAGGGUAUGAACCAAGCCAGUAACUGCCCCAAAUCAGAUGGUGCCUCUGAAGACAAUCAGCAUUGCACAGACAGUCCACAGCAUGACAGUAUCUUCCACAUUCAGGAGACAAUAAAGGGUACGAACCAAGCCAGUAACUGCCCCAAAUCAGAUGGUGCCUCUGAAGACAAUCAGCAUUGCACAGACAGUUCACAGCAUGACAGUAUCUUCCACAUUCAGGAGACAAUAAAGGGUAUGAACCAAGCCAGUAACUGCCCCAAAUCAGAUGGUGCCUCUGAAGACAAUCAGCAUUGCACAGACCGUCCACAGCAUGACAGUAUCUUCCACAUUCAGUGGCUCUUGAUGUAGAACCACCCAUAGAUCCUUCUGCAAAAGAAGUCCAGAAAUCUUCAAUUGAACAAACAACAGAAAUAACAAGUACCACAACUACCAUGAAAGGUACUGUUUGUUAAACUUCAUAGAAAGCCUUUAUGAACUUAAAAAUCUCUGUUUUUUCUGAUGUGCUUUGUUCAUUCAGGUCGAAAGGUGGUAAAGAAAAAGAAAUGGGACAGUGAUGAAAUGAAUGCAGUUGAAAAGCAUCUAAACAGGUUCAUCAAAACUUGUACAGUGCCAGGAAAACAACAAUGUGAGGCCUGUAUAAAUGCUGAACCUGUUGCCUUGAAAGACAGGGAUUGGUUGUCUGUAAAGUUCUUUGUGAAGAACAAAAUCACUACCCUUAAAAGAAGAAUGUAAAGUCAGUUAUUUUAUUUUGUUUGGUAUCUUAUUUUCUGGUAUUUUAGAUUUCUGGUUAUUACAUUUGUUUUAAAAGGAUCUUAGAAUCUCUUUUUUUUUUUUUGGAAAUGGGUGCAAUUCAGUAAAGUGUCUUUGAAUCAAAUGUAAAUAUGUACAGAAUACUGUUCAGAAUGCUACAUAAAAAUAGCAAAAAAAAUAAAUAUUUUAUUCAUGUUAUUAAAUUUUGAUCU
rnacentral:lncRNA from 1 species